AUAUGAUCCAUAAUGGACUUCUUUUCGUGAUAGAGCCUUAAAUGCAGCAACAAAUGAUUGAAUCUUCUCAACAACAGACGUUAGCUUGAAAGUUAAAUAUAAUCCUGUUGUUAGCGAUGAAAAGAGGCUCCCUUGAUCUUUAUUCAAGAAGAAUCUGUACCAUACAGGUGUUGGUAAUAAUGCACGGUACAAUAGAAGAGUGUAUUCCACAAGAGUUAAG
rnacentral:misc_RNA from 1 species